CCUACGGGGGGCAGCAGUGGGGAAUAUUGGACAAUGGGGGGAACCCUGAUCCAGCCAUGCCGCGUGUGUGAAGAAGGCCCUCGGGUUGUAAAGCACUUUCAGUGAGGAAGAACGCCUGGUGGUUAAUACCCAUCAGGAAAGACAUCACUCACAGAAGAAGCACCGGCUAACUCCGUGCCAGCAGCCGCGGUAAUACGGAGGGUGCGAGCGUUAAUCGGAAUUACUGGGCGUAAAGCGCGCGUAGGUGGCUUGAUAAGCCGGUUGUGAAAGCCCCGGGCUCAACCUGGGAACGGCAUCCGGAACUGUCGAGCUAGAGUGCAGGAGAGGAAAGUAGAAUUCCCGGUGUAGCGGUGAAAUGCGUAGAGAUCGGGAGGAAUACCAGUGGCGAAGGCGGCCUUCUGGACUGACACUGACACUGAGGUGCGAAAGCGUGGGUAGCAAACAGGAUUAGAUACCCUAGUAGUC
rnacentral:rRNA from 1 species